AUUGAACGCUGGCGGCAUGCCUAACACAUGCAAGUCGAACGGAGGUAGGGGCAACUCUACUUCAGUGGCGGACGGGUGAGGAAUGCGUCGGAAUCUACCCUAUGGUGGGGGAUAACACAGGGAAACUUGUGCUAAUACCGCAUGAUGUCGAGAGACCAAAGCAGGGGACCGCAAGGCCUUGCGCGAUAGGAUGAGCCGACGCCCGAUUAGCUAGUUGGUAGGGUAAAGGCCUACCAAGGCGACGAUCGGUAGCUGGUCUGAGAGGAUGAUCAGCCACACUGGGACUGAGACACGGCCCAGACUCCUACGGGAGGCAGCAGUGGGGAAUAUUGGACAAUGGGCGCAAGCCUGAUCCAGCAAUGCCGCGUGUGUGAAGAAGGCCUGCGGGUUGUAAAGCACUUUUGUUCGGGAAGAAAACGGAUCGGUUAAUACCCGGUUCGGAUGACGGUACCGAAAGAAUAAGCACCGGCUAACUUCGUGCCAGCAGCCGCGGUAAAGUAUCG
rnacentral:rRNA from 1 species